GUGGGGAAUCUUGCGCAAUGGGCGAAAGCCUGACGCAGCCAUGCCGCGUGAAUGAUGAAGGUCUUAGGAUUGUAAAAUUCUUUCACCGGGGACGAUAAUGACGGUACCCGGAGAAGAAGCUCCGGCUAACUUCGUGCCAGCAGCCGCGGUAAUACGAAGGGGGCUAGCGUUGCUCGGAAUUACUGGGCGUAAAGGGCGCGUAGGCGGCCCGGUAAGUCUGAAGUGAAAGUCCUGCUUUUAAGGUGGGAAUUGCUUUGGAUACUGUCGGGCUUGAGUGCAGGAGAGGUAAGCGGAAUUCCCGGUGUAGCGGUGAAAUGCGUAGAGAUCGGGAGGAACACCAGUGGCGAAGGCGGCUUACUGGACUGUAACUGACGCUGAGGCGCGAAAGUGUGGGGAGCAAACAGGAUUAGAAACCCGUGUAGUCC
rnacentral:rRNA from 1 species